rnacentral:rRNA from 1 species
GAUUGAACGCUGGCGGCAGGCCUAACACAUGCAAGUCGAACGGUAACAGGGAUCAGCUUGCUGAUUCGCUGACGAGUGGCGGACGGGUGAGUAAUGUCUGGGAAACUGCCUGAUGGAGGGGGAUAACUACUGGAAACGGUAGCUAAUACCGCAUAACGUCGCAAGACCAAAGAGGGGGACCUUCGGGCCUCUUGCCAUCGGAUGUGCCCAGAUGGGAUUAGCUAGUAGGUGGGGUAACGGCUCACCUAGGCGACGAUCCCUAGCUGGUCUGAGAGGAUGACCAGCCACACUGGAACUGAGACACGGUCCAGACUCCUACGGGAGGCAGCAGUGGGGAAUAUUGCACAAUGGGCGCAAGCCUGAUGCAGCCAUGCCGCGUGUAUGAAGAAGGCCUUCGGGUUGUAAAGUACUUUCAGCGGGGAGGAAGGGAGUAAAGUUAAUACCUUUGCUCAUUGACGUUACCCGCAGAAGAAGCACCGGCUAACUCCGUG